UUUUUCUUUUCUUUUUUUAAAAGAAAGAUAGUAUAUUUUGUUUAUUUUUUAAAAAAUAAAUUUAGUUAAAAAUAAUUAUAAUAUAAAUUUAAAAUUUUGAAUAUCAACUAUCAAUUUUUUUUAUCAGUUGAGCUGAAAAAAACCAAUUUUUUUUUUUUUUUCUUCUUUUUUUUUGCUGUUCUAAGAAAUGGAAGCUUUGGUAGAGGAAAAAUUAUAAAAUGCAACGGGUAUAUUGGUGACGUGGCGUAACAAACCAAUCAAAUAUCUUCUUUUAGGAGUAUAUGUCCUAUCAUGAUUAUAAAAAAAUUUUUUUAUUAUACUUUUGUUUGAAAAGAAGAAAUAAAACCGGCUUGUUAUUGAUGCCGUGGUGCAAGUGUGACAGUGUAGAAUUUCUCUGGGCAGAGGGCACACCUCUACACUGUAAUGCUUACCAUUC
rnacentral:lncRNA from 1 species